UACGGAGGGUGCAAGCGUUAUCCGGAUUUACUGGGUUUAAAGGGUGUGUAGGCGGGCUUUUAAGUCAGUGGUGAAAUCUCCGGGCUCAACCUGGAAACUGCCAUUGAUACUAUUAGUCUUGAAUUUUUGUUGAGGUAGGCGGAAUAAGUCAUGUAGCGGUGAAAUGCAUAGAUAUGACUUAGAACACCAAUUGCGAAGGCAGCUUGCUAAACAAAUAUUGACGCUGAGGCACGAAAAGCGUGGGGGAUCAAAACAGG
rnacentral:rRNA from 1 species